GUGGCUAAAUGAAUCAUACUUAGAUAAGGGAAAUCUGAAACAUUCCAAUUUAUGCAAAAUUGCUAAAUGACCUAUCCAACAAAUCUCUAAGGAGAAGUUAACACAGGGUGGUACAUGGAACUGGAAAAAUACAGCAAUGUUUUCUCCUUUAUAGAAUGAAUAGGAUUUUAAAGAGAACUUCUGCAUGCAAUACCAAAUAUUUUCUUUAUGUUUGUUGUCCUUAAAAAGAUUGAUACAAGUAUUUGGAGAUGAAUUCUGUUUUUCCUUUUUGUUUCUAGUCUGCUGAAAUAAUAGCUAAUUGUCAUUUAUUUUGUUUUCUAGUGAUUUCUCUCUCUUCUUUUUUUUCUUUCUUUUUCUCAUUAGAUAUUAACAAACAGGAAAAUAGAAAAAUACAAGUACUGUGACUAGCCAAACAAGUGCUGUAGUGCAUAUUUUAUCCUACUUUAUUUUACAGACCUAUCAAAUGUUUUUUUUCCUCCAAAAGGAGUUUUUCAAAUCUACACAGAAAAUAUGAGAGGAUUUCUUACACUGUUUUGGACAUGCCAGAGUUGAUUAACAAAUGCAUUCAUAUUCGUGAAACUAAAAUCAAAUUACCAUAAAACUUACAUAAAAGAAAUAUGGAAUUAGCUGAGUUCCAUGCCGUGAUUUCUAUCAGAAAAUUAUUUGGACUAUCAAUCUGCUUUGUUUAUUUUUUGGGUCAUUAUCUGAAACAUUAUCAAAAACUUGCUCCUUUGGGAACACUAGAAAAUAGGAAGGGACAGUAAACCAGUAGAAAAUCUUGUUGACAUAAUAAAAGGCAAGCUGUCCAGAAAAAUACUUUAUAUAGUCUUAACCAAGGAAUUUUCAAAACAAUCUCUACUGAGACAUGAAAUAGCUAUCAACAGAAUAUAAGGCUUAAAAUGAAUCUGUGAGGUGUACUCUUCUUUCAUGAACACUGUGUGAUUAUUCAUAAUGAGCAGCCGGUGUCUUUGAAAGUACUGUAGACUGUGCAAUAAAAGGUGAGUCUGAAGAAGGCAUGAAAAGCACCCUAAAAACUUCUACAUUUGUCUCAGUUUGGUGUGCUGCAUCCAUAUGUUUUGAACUCAUCUGCUUUUAUCUGGAUAUUGCCAAGCCACCCUGGAUUCAAGGUUGGAUUUUUCCAGGUGUUGCAUCCCUACAAGAUACACCUUCUUCAGAGGACCAAGGGCUUACAAGUCAUUAAGCUCAUAACUUAGUUUGAGCUCACUCACAGCCCAACUAUUUAGGGCUUUUAAGAGACGAACAGAGACCUGAAACAGCAUCAGACUAAAGAAACACUGACUGCUGGUUAGGUAGCCGCUGCCAACUGUGCAGUACUGGUCUAGACUCAGAUCCAGCUGAGCAAAACUGUGGCUUCCCUGAAGACCCGAAGUAUUUGAGUACUUCUGAGGACUGAAAAUUAAUGUGACACAAGUUUGGUUACUAGGACAUAUGCUUCAUAAAUGCUAAUAUAAAAUUAGUAUUUCAGUGACAUCUCAAGAUGUUGUCGGAAGUUAAAUUCUUCUAAAAUCUUUAUUUACAUUAGCUUCAGCAGGACUCCACAGUUCAGAAGCCGCUGGGCAGAGAAGACCACAGUCCCAAGGAAACCCAUAAACUGUGCCUUCUGCAGUGGAAAAAAUGGGAGCUGGGGCAAAUACUGUUCUCACAUGUUUGCUGAGGAAACAUGCUUACCUGAAUCCAUUUCCUCUUCUGCAUUAGCUUCCCUCAUUUUGAGACAAGAGAAGUGUCCAUGUGGACAGGCAACUUGUGCUUGAUUUAUUGUCAUUGAUGCUGACACAAAUAAUAAAUUCAAAGGAAGAUGAAAAUUGCCUAGCAAGAAUGAUUCAAAUAAAGCCUGUCUUCCUGGGCAAAGGAGCACUGAUUUGCUUCUCCUCCAAUGACAGCAUACUCACUGACCUUUACAGGAAUGGUGAAAACUGCACACAUGCCAAUACUUUAGAAAUUAAUGUCUUUUUAUAUCUCAUCUCUACAAAAACAUAAAGAAAAAAAUCAGAAAGAGUUCAAUCUGUUUUCUGGCACUUAUUCUACGGCAAAAAUAUGAAAAUUAACUCUCCUACCUACAAAGGGUAGAAAUCCUAAUUACUCAA